AGCAACGCCGCGUGAGCGAUGAAGGCCUUCGGGUCGUAAAGCUCUGUUGUUAGAGAAGAACAAGUACGAGAGUAACUGCUCGUACCUUGACGGUACCUAACCAGAAAGCCACGGCUAACUACGUGCCAGCAGCCGCGGUAAUACGUAGGUGGCAAGCGUUAUCCGGAAUUAUUGGGCGUAAAGCGCGCGCAGGCGGUCUCUUAAGUCUGAUGUGAAAGCCCACGGCUCAACCGUGGAGGGUCAUUGGAAACUGGGAGACUUGAGUGCAGGAGAGAAAAGUGGAAUUCCACGUGUAGCGGUGAAAUGCGUAGAGAUGUGGAGGAACACCAGUGGCGAAGGCGGCUUUUUGGCCUGUAACUGACGCUGAGGCGCGAAAGCGUGGGGAGCAAACAGGAUUAGAUACCCUGGUAGUCCACGCCGUAAACGAUGAGUGCUAGGUGUUGGGGGGUUCCACCCUCAGUGCUGAAGUUAACACAUUAAGCACUCCGCCUGGGGAGUACGACCGCAAGGUUGAAACUCAAAGGAAUUGACGGGGGCCCGCACAAGCAGUGGAGCAUGUGGUUUAAUUCGAAGCAACGCGAAGAACCUUACCAGGUCUUGACAUCCUCUGACCACUCUAGAGAUAGAGCUUUCCCCUUCGGGGGACAGAGUGACAGGUGGUGCAUGGUUGUCGUCAGCUCGUGUCGUGAGAUGUUGGGUUAAGUCCCGCAACGAGCGCAACCCUUGACCUUAGUUGCCAGCAUUCAGUUGGGCACUCUAAGGUGACUGCCGGUGACAAACCGGAGGAAGGUGGGG
rnacentral:rRNA from 1 species